GGUUAUAUAGUAUAGUAGUUAGUAUAUAUAUCUUCUACUAUAGGUACUCUCUUAUAACGCCUUAUAGGGGAGUAUCUCUUUAAGUUAUAUAAGAUUAUAGGUUCGAAUCCUACUAUAAUUG